rnacentral:misc_RNA from 1 species
GAUGAAGAACGUAGCGAAAUGCGAUAAGUAAUGUGAAUUGCAGAAUUCAGUGAAUCAUCGAGUCUUUGAACGCACAUUGCGCCCCCUGGUAUUCCGGGGGGCAUGCCUGUCCGAGCGUCAUUGCUGCCCUCAAGCACGGCUUGUGUGUUGGGCCCCCGUCCCCGGUUUCCCCCGGGGACGGGCCCGAAAGGCAGCGGCGGCGCCGCGUCCGGUCCUCGAGCGUAUGGGGCUUUGUCACCCGCUCUGUAGGCCCGGCCGGCGCCAGCCGACACCCAACUUUAUUUCUAAGGUUGACCUCGGAUCAGGUAGGGAUACCCGCUGAACUUAAGCAUAUCAAUAAGCGGAGGA